rnacentral:rRNA from 1 species
AACCUAACCAAACUCCGAAUACCGUUAAGUAUAGCUUGGCAGUCAGACUGUGGGUGCUAAGGUCCAUAGUCGAAAGGGAAACAGCCCAGAUCGCAAUCUAAGGUCCCUAAGUAAUAACUAAGUGUGAAAGGAUGUGAGUUGGCCAAGACAGCCAGGAGGUUGGCUUAGAAGCAGCCAUCCUUUAAAGAAAGCGUAACAGCUCACUGGUCUAGUUAAGCUGACUUGCGCCGAAAAUGUAACGGGGCUUAAGUUAUUUACCGAAGAUGCGAAUUAAUAUUUUGUUCGCAAAAUAUUACUGGUAGCGGAGCGUUCCGUAAAUCUGUGAAGGUGAUUUGUAAAAAUUGCUGGAGAUAUCGGAAGAGAGAAUGCUGACAUGAGUAGCGAUAAACAGAGUGAGAAACUCUGUCGCCGAAAGUCCAAGGUUUCCUGCGCAAGGUUAAUCCGCGCAGGGUUAGUCGGCCCCUAAGGCGAGGGCGAAAGCCGUAGUCGAUGGGAAUCAGGUUAAUAUUCCUGAACUAUCUGGUGGUGACGAAGUUUUAGGUUUGUAUGUACUUAUUGGAUUGUAUAUGCGAUGAAAAACUUCCAGGAAAUAGCCCCAGAGCGUUAACCGUACCCCAAACCAACACAGGUGGACAGGUAGAGAAUACUAAGGCGCUUGAGAGAAUGGUGUUGAAGGAACUCGGCAAAUUGCAUCCGUAACUUCGGAAGAAGGAUGACCUUUUGUUGAGCAAUCAACUUAAGGUGGCACAAAAUUGGGGGUAUCGACUGUUUAUCAAAAACACAGGGCUCUGCUAAGUCGUAAGACGAUGUAUAGGGCCUGACGCCUGCCCGGUGCCGGAAGGUUAAGAGGAUAAGUGCAAGCUUUGAAUUGAAGCCCCGGUGAACGGCGGCCGUAACUAUAACGGUCCUAAGGUAGCGAAAUUCCUUGUCGGGUAAGUUCCGACCCGCACGAAAGGCGUAACGAAUUGAGCACUGUCUCAACGAGAGACCCGGUGAAAUUGAAUCAUCCGUGAAGAUGCGGAUUACCUGCAGCAAGACAGAAAGACCCCGUGGAGCUUUACUGUAGCUUGGCUUUGUUUUUUGAAAUAAUUUGUGCAGUAUAGGUGGGAGACUUUGAAGUAAGAGCGUUAGCCCUUAUGGAGUUAUCAGUGAGAUACCACCCUUAUUAUUUUAGAAAACUAACUAAGCACCGUUAUCCGGUGAUAGGACAGAGUCUGGUGGGCAGUUUGACUGGGGCGGUCGCCUCCUAAAGAGUAACGGAGGCGCUCAAAGGUUCCCUCAAGAUGGUUGGAAAUCAUCUGUAGAGCGUAAGGGUAUAAGGGAGCUUGACUGCGAGACAGACAAGUCGAGCAGGGACGAAAGUCGGACCUAGUGAUCCGGUAUUUCCGAAUGGAAGGGAUAUCGCUCAACGGAUAAAAGUUACCCCGGGGAUAACAGGCUAAUCUCCCCCAAGAGUUCACAUCGACGGGGAGGUUUGGCACCUCGAUGUCGGCUCGUCGCAUCCUGGAGCUGAAGUUGGUUCCAAGGGUUGGGCUGUUCGCCCAUUAAAGCGGUACGUGAGCUGGGUUCAGAACGUCGUGAGACAGUUUGGUCCAUAUCUGCUGUAGGCGCAGGAAAUUUGAGAGGAUCUAUCCCUAGUACGAGAGGACCGGGAUGGACAUACCUCUGGUGUAGCUGUCAUGGCGCCAGCUGUGCAGCAGGGUAGCUAAGUAUGGAAUAGAUAACCGCUGAAAGCAUCUAAGCGGGAAACUAACCUCAAAACAAGGCUUCGCUGAGGAUCGUGGAAGACUACCACGUUGAUAGGCCAGGUGUGGAAGUGGGGCGACCCAUGAAGCUUACUGGUACUAAUAAUCCGAUCGGUUUGAUC